UGGGGAAUCUUGCGCAAUGGGGGAAACCCUGACGCAGCAACGCCGCGUGGGUGAUGAAGGCCUUCGGGUCGUAAAGCCCUGUCAGGUGGGAAGAAACGUGCUGAUGCCAAUAGCAUCAGCAUUUGACGGUACUACCGGAGGAAGCACCGGCUAACUCCGUGCCAGCAGCCGCGGUAAUACGGAGGGUGCAAGCGUUGUUCGGAAUUAUUGGGCGUAAAGCGCGUGUAGGCGGUCAGGUAAGUCAGAUGUGAAAGCCUUCCGCUCAACGGGAGAAGCGCAUUUGAAACUACCUGGCUAGAGUACGGGAGAGGAGAGUGGAAUUCCCGGUGUAGAGGUGAAAUUCGUAGAUAUCGGGAGGAACACCAGUGGCGAAGGCGGCUCUCUGGUCCGAUACUGACGC
rnacentral:rRNA from 1 species